GACGAACGCUGGCGGCGUGCUUAACACAUGCGAGUCGAACGGAAAGGCCCUGCUUUUGUGGGGUGCUCGAGUGGCGAACGGGUGAGUAACACGUGAGUAACCUGCCCUUGACUUUGGGAUAACUUCAGGAAACUGGGGCUAAUACCGGAUAGGAGCUCCUGCUGCAUGGUGGGGGUUGGAAAGUUUCGGCGGUUGGGGAUGGACUCGCGGCUUAUCAGCUUGUUGGUGGGGUAGUGGCUUACCAAGGCUUUGACGGGUAGCCGGCCUGGGAGGGUGACCGGCCACAUUGGGACUGAGAUGCGGCCCAGACUCCUACGGGAGGCAGCAGUGGGGAAUAGUGCACAAUGGGCGGAAGCCGGAUGCAGCAACGCCGCGUGCGGGAUGACGGCCUUCGGGGUGUAAACCGCUUUCGCCUGUGACGAAGCGUGAGUGACGGUAAUGGGUAAAGAAGCACCGGCUAACUACGUG
rnacentral:rRNA from 1 species